rnacentral:tRNA from 1 species
GCUUAAAUAGCUUAAUUUAAAGUUUAAUAUUGAAGAUAUUAAGAUAAGACUGGAUCUUUUUAGGCA